GGAAUAGUUCAGUGGCAGAGCAUCUACUUUGCAUACAGAAGGUCCUGGAUUCAAUCCCUGGCAUCUCCA